UAGGGAAUCUUCGGCAAUGGGGGCAACCCUGACCGAGCAACGCCGCGUGAGUGAAGAAGGUUUUCGGAUCGUAAAGCUCUGUUGUAAGAGAAGAACGUGUGUGAGAGUGGAAUGUUCACACAGUGACGGUAACUUACCAGAAAGGGACGGCUAACUACGUGCCAGCAGCCGCGGUAAUACGUAGGUCCCGAGCGUUGUCCGGAUUUAUUGGGCGUAAAGCGAGCGCAGGCGGUUUAAUAAGUCUGAAGUUAAAGGCAGUGGCUUAACCAUUGUUCGCUUUGGAAACUGUUGAACUUGAGUGCAGAAGGGGAGAGUGGAAUUCCAUGUGUAGCGGUGAAAUGCGUAGAUAUAUGGAGGAACACCGGUGGCGAAAGCGGCUCUCUGGUCUGUAACUGACGCUGAGGCUCGAAAGCGUGGGGAGCAAACAGG
rnacentral:rRNA from 1 species